rnacentral:rRNA from 1 species
AUUGAACGCUGGCGGUAUGCCUUACACAUGCAAGUCGAACGGUAGAGGGGCAACCCUUGAGAGUGGCGAACGGGUGAGUAAUACAUCGGAACGUGCCCAGUCGUGGGGGAUAACGUAGCGAAAGCUACGCUAAUACCGCAUACGACCUGAGGGUGAAAGCGGGGGAUCGCAAGACCUCGCGCGAUUGGAGCGGCCGAUGGCAGAUUAGGUAGUUGGUGGGGUAAAGGCCUACCAAGCCUGCGAUCUGUAGCUGGUCCGAGAGGACGACCAGCCACACUGGGACUGAGACACGGCCCAGACUACUACGGGAGGCAGCAGUGGGGAAUUUUGGACAAGGGGCGCAAGCCUGAUCCAGCCAUACCGCGUGCGGGAAGAAGGCCUUCGGGUUGUAAACCGCUUUUGUCAGGGAAGAAAUCUUCUGGGCUAAUACCUCGGGAGGAUGACGGUACCUGAAGAAUAAGCACCGGCUAACUACGUGCCAGCCGCCGCGGUAACAC